rnacentral:rRNA from 1 species
CGGUAUGUACUGGCUUUACUGAUUCCUCCUUCUUGACGAACCGUGAUGUCAUUAAUUUGGUGUUGCGGGAAAUCAGGACUGUUACUUUGAAAAAAUUAGAGUGUUUAAAGCAGGCUAACGCUUGAAUACAUUAGCAUGGAAUAAUGAAAUAGGACGUUAAUCCUAUUUUGUUGGUUUCUAGGAUCGACGUAAUGAUUAAUAGGGAUAGUUGGGGGCAUUAGUAUUCAAUUGUCAGAGAUGAAAUUCUUGGAUUUAUUGAAGACUAACUACUGCGAAAGCAUUUGCCAAGGAUGUUUUCAUUAAUCAAGAACGAAAGUUAGGGGAUCAAAGACGAUCAGAUACCGUCGUAGUCUUAACCAUAAACUAUGCCGACUAGGGAUCGGAUGAUGUUAAUUCUUUAAGGAC